UUUGCGUCGAAGGUAUACCGGUAAGGAGUGCUGGAGCGAAUAGAAGUGAGCAUGCAGGCAUGAGUAGCGAUAAUUAAUGUGAGAAUCAUUAACGCCGUAAACCCAAGGUUUCCUACGCGAUGCUCGUCAUCGUAGGGUUAGUCGGGUCCUAAGUCGAGUCCGAAAGGGGUAGACGAUGGCAAAUUGGUUAAUAUUCCAAUACCAACAUUAGUGUGCGAUGGAAGGACGCUUAGGGCUAAGGGGGCUAGCGGAUGGAAGUGCUAGUCUAAGGUCGUAGGAGGUUAUACAGGCAAAUCCGUAUAACAAUACUCCGAGAACUGAAAGGCUUUUUGAAGUCUUCGGAUGGAUAGAAGAACCCCUGAUGCCGUCGAGCCAAGAAAAGUUUCUAAGUUUAGCUAAUGUUGCCCGUACCGUAAACCGACACAGGUGGGUGGGAUGAGUAUUCUAAGGCGCGUGGAAGAACUCUCUUUAAGGAACUCUGCAAAAUAGCACCGUAUCUUCGGUAUAAGGUGUGGUUCGCUUUGUAUUAGGAUUUACUCCGAAAGCAAGGAAACUUACAACAAAGAGUCCCUCCCGACUGUUUACCAAAAACACAGCACUCUGCUAACUCGUAAGAGGAUGUAUAGGGUGUGACGCCUGCCCGGUGCUCGAAGGUUAAUUGAUGGGGUUAGCAUUAGCGAAGCUCUUGAUCGAAGCCCGAGUAAACGGCGGCCGUAACUAUAACGGUCCUAAGGUAGCGAAAUUCCUUGUCGGUUAAAUACCGACCUGCAUGAAUGGCGUAACGAGAUGGGAGCUGUCUCAAAGAGGGAUCCAGUGAAAUUGUAGUGGAGGUGAAAAUUCCUCCUACCCGCGGCAAGACGGAGAGACCCCGUGGACCUUUACUACAGCUUGACACUGCUAUUUGGAUAAGAAUGUGCAGGAUAGGUGGGAGGCUUUGAGUAUAUGACGCCAGUUGUAUAUGAGCCAUUGUUGAGAUACCACUCUUUCUUAUUUGGGUAGCUAACCAGCUUGAGUUAUCCUCAAGUGGGACAAUGUCUGGUGGGUAGUUUGACUGGGGCGGUCGCCUCCCAAAUAAUAACGGAGGCUUACAAAGGUUGGCUCAGAACGGUUGGAAAUCGUUCGUAGAGUAUAAAGGUAUAAGCCAGCUUAACUGCAAGACAUACAAGUCAAGCAGAGACGAAAGUCGGUCUUAGUGAUCCGGUGGUUCUGUGUGGAAGGGCCAUCGCUCAAAGGAUAAAAGGUACCCCGGGGAUAACAGGCUGAUCUCCCCCAAGAGCUCACAUCGACGGGGAGGUUUGGCACCUCGAUGUCGGCUCAUCGCAUCCUGGGGCUGGAGCAGGUCCCAAGGGUAUGGCUGUUCGCCAUUUAAAGCGGUACGCGAGCUGGGUUCAGAACGUCGUGAGACAGUUCGGUCCCUAUCUGCCGUGGGCGUAAGAAGAUUGAAGAGAUUUGACCCUAGUACGAGAGGACCGGGUUGAACAAACCACUGGUGUAGCUGUUGUUCUGCCAAGAGCAUCGCAGCGUAGCUAAGUUUGGAAAGGAUAAACGCUGAAAGCAUCUAAGCGUGAAGCCAACUCUAAGAUGAAUCUUCUCUAAGCUCUCUAGAAGACUACUAGUUUGAUAGGCUGGGUGUGUAAUGGAUGAAAGUCCUUUAGCUGACCAGUACUAAUAGAGCGUUUGGCUUAUCUUUAAUAAAGCAU
rnacentral:rRNA from 1 species